UACGGAGGGUGCAAGCGCUGUCCGGAAUCACUGGGCGUAAAGGGCGCGUAGGCGGCUCAUGAAGGCUGUGGUGAAAGUCCGGGGCUCAACCUCGGAUCGGCCGUGGCGACUCGUGGGCUGGAGCACUGUAGAGGCGGGUGGAAUUCCGGGUGUAGCGGUGGAAUGCGUAGAGAUCCGGAAGAACACCAGUGGCGAAGGCGGCCCGCUGGGCAGUGGCUGACGCUGAGGCGCGACAGCGUGGGGAGCAAACAGG
rnacentral:rRNA from 1 species